UAAAAUUCUUGGUGGUUUCACAGCCGCUUUUUUUAUAAGCAGCUGCCUUUUUAUCUAAAAAAACGUUUUUUUAUCUAUUAAGUCUGCUGUGAUGGGUGGUGGGUAGAUGUAUUUUAGUGGUGGGUUACUGGUUUAGUGAUGUUCAGUUUAUUGUUGCUCUUUGUUAUUAGGAUUAAUCACUCUAAUCGAGUGAUUGAGAAAGCGAUUUUUAAAGCUAAAUUUAUUAUCAUAUCAUGAGGAAAAGGAGGCAGUAUGAAGAAACUUGUGUAGAUUAUUAAGUCCAACUUGAACUGGAAUUCAGAAAAAAAAUGGGGAAAUACUUAGGGUUGAUCAGCUGGUGUUGCAUGUCACAGAUGCCGCAUGUGCAUUUGGUAAUAAAAAUGAAAAUUCACGAGUUUUUCAGAAAGAUCAAAAUAAUAGUAAGUAUUUUAUACUCUUUCUUCAUAGUGCCUUGAGAAUAUGGUUCAGGCUGUUAUAAAUCGCAAUUUCCUUGGCCACAAU